GCCAAUUUCACCAUCCAAAAUCAUCCCAUUCUGGGGUUUUCUGCCCAUAACUGCUUGCUUGAUUUUGUUUGUUUUGAGGAGACGAGUAGCCAAAAAUCAGAGAACAGAGAGGAUGUGAAGCGAUUAUGAAAAAGAAUUACAGAAAAUAGGACGAAAGAAAAAUGAAAAAGAAUUAUGGGAGGAAACCUUUAAAGUUAAGAGUAUUUUGUUAUUGCAGUUAAUUGGGGUGAGUUGUGGAAAGAGCACAGCCAUUACAUCAUUUUAGAAGCAAGGAUCCAAGGAAAAUUGGGUAUUGCACAGAUUGAGGAACUGAGGCCGGGAUGCUGAGAGAUAUGUACGAGUUCUCAGAGAGUUGUGCAAGCAUCACCACAAUUUCAGAACGUUUCCAUCAUCGUCCAAAGGAAGCGUACAUCCAGUGGCCAUCACCCCCCAACCCCCAGUCCGUCUACACCUGCAGCCCUAGAAAGCCAUGGAUGUAAUUUUUCCUCUCUGUGCAUCUGUCCCCUAUGGACAUUUGAAAUAAAUACAGGUAUGUGGUCUGUGUUCCU
rnacentral:lncRNA from 1 species